CUGAACCAGCCAAGUAGCGUGAAGGAUGACUGCCCUAUGGGUUGUAAACUUCUUUUAUAAAGGAAUAAAGUCGGGUAUGCAUACCCGUUUGCAUGUACUUUAUGAAUAAGGAUCGGCUAGCUCCGUGCCAGCAGCCGCGGUAAUACGGAGGAUCCGAGUGUUAUCCGGAUUUAUUGGGUUUAAAGGGAGCGUAGAUGGAUGUUUAAGUCAGUUGUGAAAGUUUGCGG
rnacentral:rRNA from 1 species